ACGACAAUUGCGUUCAGCAGCGUGUGCCUCGUCCUCUCAACCUCGUCCGACGCCCACAGCCCCACAACCUUAGGGUCCGCCUGACCCGUCUGACAGAGUGUUGCAGGGUUAUCGGAGCUGCCGACCUCGCCGACGAGGGGUCCCGAGCUGUUGGCGGCGCUGCACCCCAACACUGCGGCUCCCGCGAAGCUCCCCAUAGCCACACGGUUCAGAGGUUCAGAGGUUACAUGUUCAGAGAUUCUCAUGUUCAGAGGUUCAGACUUCAGAGGAAUUAUUGAUCGCUGUUGUUGCCAGUUUAAUUAGAUAUUACAGGUUGAGAGGUUCUCAGCCACACGGUCGCACGACUAUUGAUCUUGGCGCGAUCUCGGUGGUCUUGGCGUUCAAUAAUCUUGACCGCUUGCCUAAUCUUGGCGUUCAAUAGGCCAAAUCUUGAUCGCUUGAUUGAGGAUUUGCCCCAGUACCAAACUGCGUAUCAUGUGAGUGUUUCAUAAUGACAUGUGAAAAUUUCAAUUGUGCAAGCGUAAUUUAUUUAAUUAUUUAGUAUUCUUUUUUUUAAGAUGGAAGAUAGUCUUUUGGAUAAUUGUCUAGUCACUUUUAUUGGGCGGG
rnacentral:lncRNA from 1 species